rnacentral:rRNA from 1 species
CAAUAGCGUAUAUUAAAGUUGUUGCAGUUAGAACGCUCGUAGUCGGAUUUCGGGGCGGGCCGACCGGUCUGCCGAUGGGUACGCACUGGUCGGCGCGUCCUUCCUUCCGGAGACCGCGCCUACUCUUAACUGAGCGGGGGCGGGAGACGGAUCGUUUACUUUGAAAAAAUCAGAGUGUUUCAAGCAGGCAGCUCGCUCUUGCAUGGAUUAGCAUGGGAUAAUGAAAUAGGACUUUGGUGCUAUUUUGUUGGUUUCGAACACCGAAGUAAUGAUUAACAGGGACAGUCAGGGGCACUCGUAUUCCGCCGAGAGAGGUGAAAUUCUCAGACCAGCGGAAGACGAACUACUGCGAAAGCAUUUGCCAGGGAUGUUUUCACUGA